rnacentral:rRNA from 1 species
GACGAACGCUGGCGGCGUGCCUAAUACAUGCAAGUAGAACGCUGAAGAGAGGAGCUUGCUCUUCUUGGAUGAGUUGCGAACGGGUGAGUAACGCGUAGGUAACCUGCCUUGUAGCGGGGGAUAACUAUUGGAAACGAUAGCUAAUACCGCAUAACAAUGGAUGACACAUGUCAUUUAUUUGAAAGGGGCAAUUGCUCCACUACAAGAUGGACCUGCGUUGUAUUAGCUAGUAGGUGAGGUAAUGGCUCACCUAGGCGACGAUACAUAGCCGACCUGAGAGGGUGAUCGGCCACACUGGGACUGAGACACGGCCCGGACUCCUACGGGAGGCAGCAGUAGGGAAUCUUCGGCAAUGGGGGCAACCCUGACCGAGCAACGCCGCGUGAGUGAAGAAGGUUUUCGGAUCGUAAAGCUCUGUUGUAAGUCAAGAACGGGUGUGAGAGUGGAAAGUUCACACUGUGACGGUAGCUUACCAGAAAGGGACGGCUAACUACGUGCCAGCAGCCGCGGUAAUACGUAGGUCCCGAGCGUUGUCCGGAUUUAUUGGGCGUAAAGCGAGCGCAGGCGGUUUGAUAAGUCUGAAGUUAAAGGCUGUGGCUCAACCAUAGUUCGCUUUGGAAACUGUCAAACUUGAGUGCAGAAGGGGAGAGUGGAAUUCCAUGUGUAGCGGUGAAAUGCGUAGAUAUAUGGAGGAACACCGGUGGCGAAAGCGGCUCUCUGGUCUGUAACUGACGCUGAGGCUCGAAAGCGUGGGGAGCGAACAGGAUUAGAUACCCUGGUAGUCCACGCCGUAAACGAUGAGUGCUAGGUGUUGGAUCCUUUCCGGGAUUCAGUGCCGCAGCUAACGCAUUAAGCACUCCGCCUGGGGAGUACGACCGCAAGGUUGAAACUCAAAGGAAUUGACGGGGGCCCGCACAAGCGGUGGAGCAUGUGGUUUAAUUCGAAGCAACGCGAAGAACCUUACCAGGUCUUGACAUCCCGAUGCUAUUUCUAGAGAUAGAAAGUUACUUCGGUACAUCGGUGACAGGUGGUGCAUGGUUGUCGUCAGCUCGUGUCGUGAGAUGUUGGGUUAAGUCCCGCAACGAGCGCAACCCCUAUUGUUAGUUGCCAUCAUUCAGUUGGGCACUCUAGCGAGACUGCCGGUAAUAAACCGGAGGAAGGUGGGGAUGACGUCAAAUCAUCAUGCCCCUUAUGACCUGGGCUACACACGUGCUACAAUGGUCGGUACAACGAGUUGCGAGUCGGUGACGGCGAGCUAAUCUCUUAAAGCCAAUCUCAGUUCGGAUUGUAGGCUGCAACUCGCCUACAUGAAGUCGGAAUCGCUAGUAAUCGCGGAUCAGCACGCCGCGGUGAAUAAAUUCCCGGGCCU